rnacentral:lncRNA from 1 species
AGCUUUAUGAGGUAAUCAUAGUCCGCUCUAGCCCUCGCCGGUGGUGCGGCCAUUGAACAAUCAAUUCGUAUAUGAUAUUACACACACAGACACACACACCUCUGGAAUCACAGAAAAUGAUCAAAUUAAUAACAAAAAAACACAAUUAAUAAGCAACAAAAAGCAGAUCAAAAUCUACAAAAAUGAAUCUAAUGAUUUUCACAGAGAGAUAGAGGAGGGGGGUUACCAAUUGGCUAUUCUUCGCACUUUGUGCUGCGUGCGCUUAGCAAAAUUGUUCGAAACGAAGAGAGUGGGGCGGGUGAUCACGCGCUUUAUGUAGAGAAAUGGAAAAGUUUAACGUGGUGCGUUUUGAUUGGAUAUGAGGAAAGGUAUAUUAAACGACAAGAAAUGUGUGCGUUGUAUGUUUGAGCUGGAAUUUGUAAAAUGGGGAUGGAGUUUUUAAAGGUACAAAUCUACAAAGAUGUGAGCAUUGAUUGGAGCAACGAGAGGUACAACUGUUAAC